UACGAAGGGGGCUAGCGUUGUCCGGAUUUACUGGGUUUAAAGGGUGCGUAGGCGGCUGAAUAAGUCGUAGAUGAAAUGUCUGGGCUCAACCUAGGCGCUGUUUACGAUCCUGUUUGGCUAGAGCGAUCAUGAGGUAGCUGGAAUGAGUGGUGUAGCGGUGAAAUGCGUAGAGAUCACUCAGAACACCGAUUGCGAAGGCAGGUUACUGGAGAUUAGCUGACGCUGAGGCACGAAAGCGUGGGGAUCAAACAGG
rnacentral:rRNA from 1 species